rnacentral:rRNA from 1 species
CAAUAGCGUAUAUUAAAGUUGUUGCAGUUAAGAAGCUCGUAGUUGGAUUUGUGGCGUACGGUGUGUUCCGGGCACUUGUUGUCUGAGUAACCUGCUGUUGCCAUCCUUGGGUGGAACCUGUGUGGCAUUAGGUUGUCGUGCAGGGGAUGCCCAUCAUUUACUGUGAAAAAAUUAGAGUGUUCAAAGCAGGCUUAUGCCGUUGAAUAUAUUAGCAUGGAAUAAUGAGAUAGGACUUUUUUGCUAUUUUGUUGGUUUGCGCAAAGAGGUAAUGAUUAAUAGGGACAGUUGGGGGUAUUCGUAUUCCAUAGUCAGAGGUGAAAUUCUUGGAUUUUUGGAAGACGAACUACUGCGAAAGCAUUUACCAAGGAUGUUUUCAUUAA